UACGUAGGUGGCAAGCGUUGUCCGGAAUUAUUGGGCGUAAAGCGCGCGCAGGCGGUCCUUUAAGUCUGAUGUGAAAGCCCACGGCUCAACCGUGGAGGUCAUUGGAAACUGGGGGACUUGAGUACAGAAGAGAAGAGUGGAAUUCCACGGUGUAGCGGGUGAAAUGCGUAGAGAUGUGGAGACACCAGUGGCGAAGGCGACUGACUUGGUCUGUAACUGCGCUGAGGCGCG
rnacentral:rRNA from 1 species